rnacentral:rRNA from 1 species
AGUGAACGCUGGCGGUAGGCCUAACACAUGCAAGUCGAACGGCAGCACAGUAAGAGCUUGCUCUUACGGGUGGCGAGUGGCGGACGGGUGAGGAAUACAUCGGAAUCUACUUUUUCGUGGGGGAUAACGUAGGGAAACUUACGCUAAUACCGCAUACGACCUACGGGUGAAAGCAGGGGAUCUUCGGACCUUGCGCGAUUGAAUGAGCCGAUGUCGGAUUAGCUAGUUGGCGGGGUAAAGGACCACCAAGGCGACGAUCCGUAGCUGGUCUGAGAGGAUGAUCAGCCACACUGGAACUGAAACACUGUCCAGACUCCUACGGGAGGCAGCAGUGGGGAAUAUUGGACAAUGGGCGCAAGCCUGAUCCAGCCAUACCGCGUGGGUGAAGAAGGCCUUCGGGUUUUAAAGCCCUUUUGUUGGGAAAGAAAAGCAGCAGGUUAAUACCCCGCUGUUCUGACGGUACCCAAAGAAUAAGCACCGGCUAGCUUCGUG